rnacentral:lncRNA from 1 species
GUUGUUGAUCAGUUAUCAACCAGUUAUCAACGAAUUACCAGCGAUUUAAUUAACGAGUCAUUAGCGAUCCUAUUUUACGACUGAUACACUGUCUUAGCAAAUCGUGAAUUACUUACAUAACUAUCCAUUGAAAUAGACCUUCAAUUGUUAUUGAAAUAAAUAUGAGAUAAUUCACAUCGAGCUGCUGAGCUGUCCAGACAUAUUUACAUUGCUAAUCCGAAUCUUAACGUCAGGGUUAGUAGCAAUGCGGUCAUGCUACCUGCGAAGACAGGGUAUGAUCCACUACUGCAGUAAAUAAAUCCAAGCCAGGAACGAAGAUGGUAAAUACAUAUUUCUGAGCACAGAAGUUUUGGAACUAACGUCAUCAAUGUUGGAUCUAACUAGAGUCACUACAAUCGAAAAUACUCAGAACAAUAGUCAACGCCUCAUGGUAUGUCAGCAACGAGAAUAUACGCAAAGACCUACAAAUACCAAUGGUCAAGGAAGAAAUCGGCAGAUACGCAAAAAGAUACAAAAAAAAGAAUGGCAACACAUCCAAAUCAACCGGCUGCUGAAAUGAGCAAAAGCUGCAUAAAAAAAAGACCAAAAAGUAAACACCCCACUGACCUUGCUAAAGAAAUAAGAUUAGGCAAACUCGAAGAUGGUAACCCGCUGGGAAUAGCCAUCCACAUGCUAUUUAGCAAUAAGGUUAAGAAAAUUUACCAAAUGUCCAGCUGGAUAAAUUCUAAAGCAUGAAUUUAAAAAAACAAUGUUGGAUCCAAGAUAUAUAUGUAAACUUCCUAAGAGUUCAAACGCGGAUAAACAAAGGGACUUUCUCUGUUUAACGGAUAAUGUAACUUUAUUUGUCGUUACGAACAACCGAUUUGCCAAACAGUCAUUUCACAGACGGACAGUUAGAGAAGAAGAACGAUUUCAAGCAUUAGAAAUAGACACGAUUAUAAGAAAGGAUUAU